rnacentral:misc_RNA from 1 species
GAUGAAGAACGUAGCGAAAUGCGAUAAGUAAUGUGAAUUGCAGAACUCAGUGAAUCAUCGAAUCUUUGAACGCACAUUGCGCCCCCCGGCAUUCCGGGGAGCAUGCCUGUUCGAGCGUCUCUUGGAAUACCCCUCACGCCGGCGGAGGCGUGGUCAUGGCGGCGGUGGCGUGCCCCGAGAGGGAGGCCACCGCGCUGGAAUCCAUGGGCGGACGCCUGCCGCGUGGCCGAGCGUGAUAAGACGCACUGGCGCUCGCGCGCGGCGAGGCUGCCGGCCCUGGCCCGCUCGUCGGGCGGGGACAGCAACACUUGGGAACUCCUCGAAUCAGGUAGGGAUACCUGCUGAACUUAAGCAUAUCAAUAAGCGGAGGA